AUCCCGGCCCCUCCUCCGCCAGCCGCGUCCUCCCGGGCUUGGUGAGGAACUGUUCCUGGAGGAGCCGCGGGACGCCAAAACCAGCCAAUGGGAAGCGGCGAUUCGCGGAGAUUGGCACUGAUGAUGGGAAGCAAUGAUAAGGAAACUAAACUGGAUUAAGUGCUAUCAUCUUGGAGGUGCAAAGGCAAACAAGGAGAAAGAAGUGAUUGAAGAGCACUUCAGAAAGCUUGGUACAUUCAAAUCAGCAGGGCUUGAUUACUCGCAUCCCAGGACACUUAAGGAAUUGGCAAAUAUAAUUGCAAGACCACCAGCCUUUAUUUUAGAAAAUGAAGGUUGGACAGAAGAAGGUCCUGACAAGUAAAAUCAGCAGAUGGAGUACCUGUUUUUUAAAAGAGGGAAAAGGACAGCUGUAGUAAUUAUAGACUAUUCAGUUUAUCUUGGAUACCUGGGAAGAUACAAGAGCAAAUCAUCAAACAAUCAAUUUGCAACCACCUAGAAGAGUACAAGCUACUGGGUCGUAAUCAACGUGAUUUUGUGAAGUGCAAAUUAUGCCACACCAAUUUAAUUUUAUCUAUGAUAGAGUGAUGAGCCUGGCAGAAGAGGGGAAAGCAAUAUCUACAACUGGACUUCAAUAAGGAAUAUUGAUCUCAGCGUUACUUUGACCAUUAAUGAAUUAUGAUGGCAAUAAGCAAAGAUUCGCACCUCUAGCCUCCGGGGAGCUUAAUCUUCUGCUACAACAUUUGCAUUUGUAAGUCAGCACCUGUGUAAUCUAUAUUCUAUUUGUUAUUCUCCUUUAAUUACAUAUUGGUAGUGGUCCAUUUGCAGGCUGGGAGCAACC
rnacentral:lncRNA from 1 species